rnacentral:SRP_RNA from 1 species
ACGUGCUAGACGGGGAGCUAGCGGUGCCCUGUAGCCCGAAAUCCGCUCAUGCGGGGUCGAUUUCUUCCCGAGAAACAAGAGGUGGGGAUCAAUUCUUUCAGCAAGAGAGGAGGUCGGACCUCGUGUGACAGAUGAUUAUGAACCCCGUCAGGUCCGGGAGGAAGCAGCGGUAAAUAAUUCAAUCUGCAGCACGAAGCAAUCUGCCCUCGUGACCUCUUCUUGCUGAGAGAUUGUCUCCCUUUCUGUUCAAAGGAGGAUGCACGA